GUGUGUCUCGAUGGCCAUGGGCCAAGGCAGAGCCAGCCUUGCUAUAAGCCCUCUCGGGCUGGUGAGGAGAUCAAGUAUCUCCUUCACCGGGCCGCUGGCACUUCGUUCCAGCAGAGGGAGGGAAGGGCCUAGAAGACUCUGUGUUUCUCCUGUGAGAAGGCAGGUCUCAGUGUUGCCGCUCGUUACCAUGGCAAUGCUCCAAUACAGUGCUGUGCUCGCAAGAGGACAAGAGAGUCAGCCUGUAGCCAGAGGAGCUGCAGACUAAAGUGAACAUGCCACCACUGGACCAACAGGGCUUGCAUCAUUAUGUGCCCCCUCUCUGGUAAAGUAAGAAGAAGGGAGGGGGAGACAUUAAGAUAGAUUUUCAAAUCUCACCCACCUACACACAGCACAGACUCUAUGCACCCUUCACACACACAAACACACACUACACCCCUCACACACACACA